GUGCUCCCUUCAGCGGCACAUAUACUAAAAAUUGGACAAUAUAGAUUAGCAUGUUGCCUAUGCAAAGAUUACAUGCAAAUUUGUGCAUUGUUCCAUAUUUUG
rnacentral:snRNA from 1 species